GACGAACGCUGGCGGCGUGCUUAACACAUGCGAGUCGAACGGAAAGGCCCUGCUUUCGUGGGGUGCUCGAGUGGCGAACGGGUGAGUAACACGUGAGUAACCUGCCCUUGACUUUGGGAUAACUUCAGGAAACUGGGGCUAAUACCGGAUAGGAGCUCCUGCUGCAUGGUGGGGGUUGGAAAGUUUCGGCGGUUGGGGAUGGACUCGCGGCUUAUCAGCUUGUUGGUGGGGUAGUGGCUUACCAAGGCUUUGACGGGUAGCCGGCCUGAGAGGGUGACCGGCCACAUUGGGACUGAGAUACGGCCCAGACUCCUACGGGAGGCAGCAGUGGGGAAUAUUGCACAAUGGGCGGAAGCCUGAUGCAGCAACGCCGCGUGCGGGAUGACGGCCUUCGGGUUGUAAACCGCUUUCGCCUGUGACGAAGCGUGAGUGACGGUAAUGGGUAAAGAAGCACCGGCUAACUACGUG
rnacentral:rRNA from 1 species